GGUCGGAAGUUCAAGUCUUCCCAGGCCCACCACACUCAUCGAGUGAGCAUUCGUCUUCUGGUUACGGGGCCAUAGCUCAGCUGGGAGAGCGCGUGCUUUGCAAGCAUGAGGUCGUCGGUUCGAUCCCGUCUGGCUCCACCAGAUGGUUUGAUCACCGACUACUCAUACCGUCGUCCGCGAAACAUCACUUCGCACUUACUAGUCCGGAUGGACAGUAAGCUGCGUGAUUUCUGACAUCGUAAAGAGGAGAUCGAUCCGAGUUGGAUCGGGCAACAAGUAAUUGUUGCGCGAUACUUCAUUAUCUCCGGAUCAUUUCGGCGCUCGUGCGUCUUCCAGGGUAGCUCACAAGGCUGCAUUGAAAGACAAGCGAGUUGUAAAUGAUCCUUUUAGCGAAGCUUGACCGCCUCGCUAUCGGAACGAUCUUACGAAGCAAGCUGGUCUUUCUAAUCAUUGUCCGGCUGCAGAUAGCGUUCAUCGAGGGCGCGUACCGCAAGGUAGUUCUGCAGACAACAUUCUGCCGAGUGUGUGGACAUUGAUAAUGAGAGC
rnacentral:tRNA from 1 species